GAUGAAGAACGCAGCGAAAUGCGAUAAGUAAUGCGAAUUGCAGAAUUCCAGUGAAUCAUCGAAUCUUUGAACGCACAUUGCGCCCCUUGGUAUUCCAUGGGGCAUGCCUGUUCGAGCGUCAUUUGUACCUUCAAGCCUUGCUUGGUGUUGGGUGUUUGUCUCGCCUCUGCGCACAGACUCGCCUCAAAACAAUUGGCAGCCGGCGUAUUGAUUUCGGAGCGCAGUACAUCUCGCGCUUUGCACUCAGAACGACGACGUCCAAAAGUACAUUUUUACACUCUUGACCUCGGAUCAGGUAGGGAUACCCGCUGAACUUAAGCAUAUCAAUAAGCGGAGGA
rnacentral:misc_RNA from 1 species